rnacentral:rRNA from 1 species
AAUAGAUACCCGGGUAGUCCACGCCGUAAACGAUGAGUGCUAAGUGUUGGGGGGUUUCCGCCCCUCAGUGCUGCAGCUAACGCAUUAAGCACUCCGCCUGGGGAGUACGGUCGCAAGACUGAAACUCAAAGGAAUUGACGGGGGCCCGCACAAGCGGUGGAGCAUGUGGUUUAAUUCGAAGCAACGCGAAGAACCUUACCAGGUCUUGACAUCCCGGUGACCACUAUGGAGACAUAGUUUCCCCUUCGGGGGCAACGGUGACAGGUGGUGCAUGGUUGUCGUCAGCUCGUGUCGUGAGAUGUUGGGUUAAGUCCCGCAACGAGCGCAACCCUUAUUCUUAGUUGCCAUCAUUCAGUUGGGCACU